UGGGCCACCGUUUGUUGAGUGCAAAUAUGGAUGACUGUUUUUGCCGGCUUCACUGUCGGCUUAUAAGGGUUAUCAAAUAUCACUUUGAUUAAAUUAGAGUGCUCAAAGCAAGUGUGUUACUUGGAUAUAAAUGCAUGGAAUGAUGGAAUAUGUUGUUGUUCUAUUUGUCGGUUUUUGAACGAUGAAAUGAUUGAAAGGAACCGUUGGGGGCAUUCGUAUUGUUGUGAGAGAGGUGAAAUUCUUAGACCACAGCAAGACGAACUACUGCGAAAGCAUUUGCCAAGAAUGUUUUCAUUGAUCAAGAACGAAAGUUAGAGGUUCGAAGGCGAUCAGAUACCGCCCUAGUUCUAACCAUAAACUAUGCCAACUAGCAAUCUGCUUAUAUAUGUUCUAUGAUUAAGUAGGCGGCCACGGGAAACCAAAGUAGGGUUAUGGGGGAAGUAUGGUUGCAAAGCCGAAACUUAAAGGAAUUGACGGAAGGGCACCACCAGGAGUGGAGCCUGCGGCUUAAUUUGACUCAACACGGGAAAACUUACCUGGUCCUGACACUAGAAGGAUUGACAGAUUGAUAGCUCUUUCUUGAUUUGGUGGAUGGUGGUGCAUGGCCGUUCUUAGUUGGUGGAGUGAUUUGUCUGGUUAAUUCCGAUAACGAACGAGACCUCGACCUACUAAAUAGUUGGUCGAAGCCUUUGGCUUUGCGCUUACUUCUUAGAGGGACUAUCGG
rnacentral:rRNA from 1 species